GCAGUGUGGAAAUGUGAGAGCAAGUUGGUGACAUCUUUCAGCUGGAUACAUUGCCCAAAGAAGACCUCAAAUAUGUGCCAAGAAGCCAGUGAUUCUAUUGCAGAGAACUCCAUGGAAAUGUACAGGAAGAAAGUGCCUUCAAAUACCUGUGCACCUGGGAAUCCAGGCAUCUGCUUCACUUCAGAAGAAGCAUUCAUGAUUCAUUUCAAGAAGGCUUGAGCAGGAAGAACUGAGCUUCAGGUAUACCGCAGGUACCUUGCAUUGCAGAUGGGUUAGAAGAGAGAAGAGCUGCUUCAUGGGAUUUUAUCACAUUUUUCCUGAAAGUCCCACACACAGGUGGGAACUUGAAGACAUGAUCAGGCCAUGGAGUCUCCUCUUUUGGGAAGGGGCUACUCAAAGAAAUCCUUGUUCCUGUUUUACCUUCUGCCACAGGAGGACACAAGAAGGUUUUCAGAUGUGGGUACCUGACUUGCAGC